GCAGGUUGAGCUGGCUCUCGCCGUGACGGCUGAGGUAGAUGGCACGGGGGGUGACGUGGAUGUUCAUCAAGUAAUAAACGAUGCGGCUCUGGACGUGACCCUGCACCCGGUUCGCCAGGUUCUCACCUUGAUGUUCUCCUCGAUGAUGGCGGGGUCGUCGCAAAUGGAUUCAAUGAACAGAACCUGGGCGGGGGGGGUGCAAAAAGGGGGUCACCGAUUCCCCCCCCCCCGUGUCAUGAGCACUCCUAAAGCAGUGCUGCUGCCCCCCCCCAAGCACACUGUUGUUGCACCCCAGAGCAGUGCUGCUCUCCCUGCUCCAUGCUGGGAGUACCCCCUCCAAAACAGUGUCAUCACCACCCCCGUACUGUGAACACCCCCAAAACAGCGCUGUCUGCCGCUGCCCCCCCCAUGCUGUGAAUGCCCCCCAAAGCAGCACUGCCAUCCCUCCAACAAUGUGCUGUAGCCCCCCCCCAAUUCUAUAAGCCCCCCAAAAUACUUUGUGCUCACACACACACCCCCAUCCCCCCCCCAAAAUUAUGCUGCCAGUACCUUGUAGCCA